rnacentral:rRNA from 1 species
UACAGAGGGUGCAAACGUUGCUCGGAAUUAUUGGGCGUAAAGCGCACGUAGGCGGUUUGUUAAGUUGGAUGUGAAAGCCCUGGGCUCAACCCUGGAAGUGCAUCCAAGACUGACAAGCUAGAGUAUCGGAGGGGUCGGAGAAUCCGGUGUAGAGGUGAAAUUCGUAGAUAUCGGGAGGAACAUCUGUGGCGAAGGCGCCGACCUGGACGAAAACUGACGCUGAGGUGCGAAAGCAUGGGGAGCAAACAGGAUUAGAUACCCGUGUAGU